rnacentral:rRNA from 1 species
UACGUAGGAGGCGAGCGUUGUCCGGAAUCACUGGGUGUAAAGCGCGUGUAGGCGGCCUGCCAAGUCUGCUGUGAAAGCGCCGGGCUUAACCGGGCGAGGUCGGUGGAAACUGGCGGGCUGGAGGUCGGUAGAGGGGGGUGGAAUUCCCGGUGUAGUGGUGAAAUGCGUAGAGAUCGGGAGGAACACCAGUGGCGAAGGCGGCCCCCUGGGCCGGGCCUGACGCUGAGACGCGAAGGCGCGGGGAGCGAACGGG